CCCAGAGUGCUGGCUGGGGGUUUAGUCAGCAGGGGCUACAGAAGCCACGUUGGUGACUGGGUGAAUGGGAUUGGUGAGGACAAUUGUGUAAGUGUCUGAAGAACCAUCUGGGGCUCCUUCAACAACUCAACAAGAGCUGGGUUCCUAUGAGGUCAUGGAGACCAGGAGAGCAUACAGUUUGUAUCUGCCAUUGAGGAGCCACUAUUCUUGGGCAGACUCCUUCGUGAAGAGCAGGUGGGGCCAGAAUUGAAUGCUUUCUUAGGACAUUUCACCACUGCUAUCCAUCCAUGCAAAUGUGGUUAUAUGGAAGUUAUUUUGUGUUAAAGAGAAGAUUGGGAGCAUUGGAAAAGGUAAGACAAGUAAAAUCUUUGCUUUUCCUGUUUCUUUUUGUGCUCUUUAAAUCAUUUUUUUUUUAUUUUUAUUUUUUGAUACAGCUCUGUUGCCCAGGCUGGAGUGCAGUGACAUGAUUGCAGCUCACUGCAGCCUCAAUCUCCUGGGCUCAAGUGAUCCUCCUGCCUCCGUCUCCUGAGUAGCUGGCACCACAGAUGUGCACCGAAGUUUCAAUAAUAAUAGCCCUUCCCUGAAACUCAGCUGCCUUUGUAAAGCUAAUGAGAGACCACCAGGCUAGCGGGAGGAGAGGAGCCUGAAUUCUGCUAAGGUGUAGACUGGUCACAAGAUAUGUAACUUCCCUAUUACUCCUGCAGAUAACAUCACUAUUUUGGAUUGGCUUUUUGAAAUAUUUUUUCAGGUUUUUUGCAUGUCUGACACCAAUGGCUCCACCUGGACCCGAUGGCUCCGCCUGGACCUGCCAAACUCCUCCUAUGGUUCCACCCAGGAACAACUCAGCUCAAGAAGACAGUUUCAACCACCUAUGAUUUCAUCUCCAUCUCAACCAAUCAGCAGUAAGCAACCAUUUCCUACUCACUCCCACCCCUUUCCCAAACUGCCUUUGGAAAAU
rnacentral:lncRNA from 1 species